GAUGAACGCUGGCGGCGCGCCUAACACAUGCAAGUCGAACGAUUAAAGCACCUUCGGGUGUGUAUAAAGUGGCGAACGGCUGAGUAACACGUGGGCAACCUGCCCCUUUCAUUGGGAUAGCCACGGAAAACCGUGGAUAAUACCGAAGACUUCGAGACUUCCGCAUGGAAGACUCGAGGAAGCUCCGGCGGAGAGGGAUGGGCCCGCGGCCUGUUAGCUUGUUGGUGGGGUAACGGCCUACCAAGGCAAUGAUGGGGAGCUGGGUUGAGAGACCGACCGGCCCGAUUGGGCCUGAGACACGGCCCAGCCUCCUCCGGGAGGCAGCAGUGGGGAAUCUGGCACAAUGGGCGAAAGCCUGAUGCAGCGACGCCGCGUGCGGGAUGAAGGCCUUCGGGUGGUAAACCGCUUUCAGCAGGGACGAGGCGAAAGUGACGGUACCUGCAGAAGAAGCCCCGGCUACCUACGG
rnacentral:rRNA from 1 species